GAACCCCAAAAUGCAGGGCCACUGGUGCCCAUCAGCAGCAAACACAGGGCACAGAGGUGGCCUGAGGGGACAAGGGGCAGGGACCCUGGGCACAUUUCACAUCCCCCUGCCCACUCCAUGCUGGCACACAGACCCUUCCUCAGGGGUGACCCAAAGCCAGGACAGUGACCAAGGUCAUUUCAGGAGGUGGCUGCCCUUCAGUGCCCCUUGCAGCAAGGUCAAAAUCAUCAAAUUCAAACAUCUUGAAUCGGUCAGAACGGCCUUUGCUACAUCAAAGAGACCCCCGGGGAGGGAUAAGAGUUUCCCUUCAGGGAGGGGCACUCUGUGAAACCACUGAGAAAGCCACCAAUUAGCAAAUGGGUUUAAUGGUGCACUGAAGGCACCGGUUCUGCUCAGCCAGGCUGGGUUUGUGCUGCAAACUUAACUCUUCCACACAAAGGAGGGAGCCCCAGGAGGGGCACGGCCUCCUUCGGGGAGGUCACGGCACAAGAAAGGCAGCCCCAGCAGGACACACAGCACAGCAGGGCCUGCUUUGUCCUGCACCGUGGGACUCCUGUUCCACACAGCUCGAGUUUGACUGGGCUGUAGGGUUCUGCUUUUCCUCCUGAAAGAACUUUCUGGAGCCCCGACAUCUCCCGGCGCGAGCACCUCCGCGUUUCUGGAGGCAGAGGGAUUGUACAGCCACGAGAGGAGCGACCUCGACCUCCACCAGGCCAACAAAACAACAUCCAGAGCAGGAGAAAGGAGCUGUCACCCACAAAUGCACAGUGCUGAGGAUGGAAUUUAAGGAAAUCUCUUUUCCCCUCUCUACCAAAGCAGGAUCCACACAUCCCCUUCUUUACAAAACAUCUCUCAGCCUCUGGUACACCAUGUACUAUUUAAUAUACCCACAGAGAUGAGUGAGGCAAAAGCUCCAGCUGAAAAAUUACUCAAGGAACGGUGAUGUUAAUAGAAACCUGCCUGGGGGAAUUAGUGCUCAUCAUCCCAACCUUCCUGUGCCUGCCUGGAUUGGUCUCCUUCCUGGAUAUCUGUGUCACACUUGGGCUGCAUAACCCCCUGCCAGACCUCCAUCUUGUACUAUUUUAGGUAAUAAAUGACUCAAA